rnacentral:rRNA from 1 species
AUUUUGGACAAUGGGCGCAAGCCUGAUCCAGCAAUGCCGCGUGAGUGAAGAAGGCCUUCGGGUUGUAAAGCUCUUUUGUCAGGGAAGAAACGGUUGAGGCUAAUAUCCUCGGCUAAUGACGGUACCUGAAGAAUAAGCACCGGCUAACUACGUGCCAGCAGCCGCGGUCAUACGGAGGAUCCAAGCGUUAUCCGGAAUUACUGGGCGUAAAGAGUUGCGUAGGUGGCAUAGUAAGCAAGUAGUGAAAGCGUGUGGCUCAACCAUACUUACAUUACUUGAACUGCUAAGCUAGAGGAUGAGAGAGGUUAUUGGAAUUCCCAGUGUAGGAGUGAAAUCCGUAGAUAUUGGGAGGAACACCGAUGGCGUAGGCAGAUAACUGGCUCAUUCCUGACACUAAGGCACGAAAGCGUGGGGAGCAAAC